ensembl:miRNA
ACCCGAGGCGUCAGCCCUCCUCUCGCGCCCAAACUUGGAGCGCUUGACCUUUGGUUGUCGGAGGAGGCAGGCCCACGGGU